rnacentral:rRNA from 1 species
UACGUAGGGUCCAAGCGUUAAUCGGAAUUACUGGGCGUAAAGCGUGCGCAGGUGGUUUGUUAAGCGCGAUGUGAAAUCCCCGAGCUCAACUUGGGAAUUGCAUUGCGAACUGACUGACUAGAGUACGGCAGAGGGGGGUGGAAUUCCACGUGUAGCAGUGAAAUGCGUAGAGAUGUGGAGGAACACCGAUGGCGAAGGCAACCCCCUGGGCUGAUACUGACACUCAUGCACGAAAGCGUGGGGAGCAAACAGG